UUUCAGGCUCAUUUCAUAAGUUGCUCUUCAGGGUUGAUCGAUAAUGUAGUUUUCUCAUAUUACUCUAUAUGCUGGACAUUCAUAUAUGAAUAGAUUUCCAUGAGUGAUCUGAGUGUGACCUAUGAGGAGACGAUUUAGUCAUAUUAUGUCUUGGGAGCUUGAUGACAAGGCCUACCUAGAAGAAAGCUUGACCCCAGUACCUUAAGUUCAUAGAAAGUGGUCAUCAGAUCUGUCUAGUAAUCAUCUUCGCCUCCAUGCAUGUCUUUAAACUGAUCUACAGGGUGGCCCACAUUAAAGAGCCAGACCGGAUAUUUCUGUAAGUAUUGUGGUUUUCCGGGAAAAGCCGCUACAGGGUAAC